AGUGAACGCUGGCGGUAGGCCUAACACAUGCAAGUCGAACGGCAGCACAGUAAGAGCUUGCUCUUACGGGUGGCGAGUGGCGGACGGGUGAGGAAUACAUCGGAAUCUACUUUUUCGUGGGGGAUAACGUAGGGAAACUUACGCUAAUACCGCAUACGACCUACGGGUGAAAGCAGGGGAUCUUCGGACCUUGCGCGAUUGAAUGAGCCGACGUCGGAUUAGCUAGUUGGCGGGGUAAAGGCCCACCAAGGCGACGAUCCGUAGCUGGUCUGAGAGGAUGAUCAGCCACACUGGAACUGAGACGCGGUCCAGACUCCUACGGGAGGCAGCAGUGGGGAAUAUUGGACAAUGGGCGCAAGCCUGAUCCAGCCAUACCGCGUGGGUGAAGAAGGCCUUCGGGUUGUAAAGCCCUUUUGUUGGGAAAGAAAAGCAGCAGGUUAAUACCCCGCUGUUCUGACGGUACCCAAAGAAUAAGCACCGGCUAACUUCGUG
rnacentral:rRNA from 1 species